GUGACGCUGGAGCUCUGCAGCUCCAGCGUUGCCUAGGUUACAUAUAUAUGCCUGAUGGUGUAGCUGCCAGCUGAGCAGCUGAUGGCGAUGACCCUUAAUCGGCUCACAGAAUUUAUAUAAGCCACACCCUUCCAGAGAAAACUGCUUGGGUUAAUUUGUUUGUAGAGAAGAUAACACGGUUUGAAGUAUUGAAAUUAUGUCUUUAGCCUAAAUUCACCUCAGCUGCACAUUGCCGACUGCAUCCCCACGUAAGUUUUGCUGUAUUGACGCUUUUGUUUGGGUUAUUAGUUUGACACUCUAUAGUCAUUGUUUGUUUUUCUUGUUCUUGUCCAUCACCUAGUCUACAGAUAAAGCAGAUUUGAGGAACUAUUGUUUUGUUUAGCACCCUUGGCCAGCGCAGCAAGGUAAAUGUGAGAAUAUGAUCUAUUUCUGUUAUGACAUAGAAGUUGUGUUCACCUUUUAUUUAUGCUUUGUAUAUCUCUAAACAGUUUUCACGGUGCAACUCAUGGAGUGAAGUCCAAGGAAUUGGACCAGAGAAACUAAAAGUUUAUGCACCCGUCGAGGCUCUCCGUUCUUUUCUUCAUGGUGCCAGGGGCAGCUACAGUGAAAACUUGACCAGUGGCCAGUGGAAAGCCUACCAUCAUCCAUCUUCUGGGAGGACCUGUUGACACAGCAGCUCGAGGCGGAUGCAGCUUGGUGCAGAAUCACCAUAAUUGCCCCUCUUUUCUUCCUCCUUAAAGGCUUCACAAACUGAGUAAAGGAGUUUUGUCCUUUACUCAGUCCAACUCCAGGCUUGGAGUUGGAGUUUAAACCAAAGAAAAGCCACCCUUUGCUCUGAUUACUGCUUUGCACGCUCUUGAUGAGUUUCUCACCUGAAAUGGUUUUCCAACAGUCUUGAAGGACCCUCCUCCCAACCCCAGAGAUGCAGAUGUCUGGUUUGAACAGGUGAGCAUCACAGUAUAUCAGAGUGGAGCAAACUGAGCUUGAGAUAUUGUGGGUGUUAUGCACUUUUUCUGCUCCAAAGCAUGAAAGUUAAUAGGUGAGAUUUUACAUUUUCAUUUAAGAGAAUUACUGUUUUUUAUUUUUGUUGUUGGCCUCUGAAGAAAGAUUUAACCCGCUUUAAAACAGGAACUGGAAAGAUAAACGGAGAAGGAAGUGACGCGCCACCAUCAGCGUCAGCCUGAAGAAGCCGGCAGCCGUCGGCGAAACGUAGCAUCAACAACAUUUUGUGUUCACUAAGGCUGGAGACUGAACAGUGAUGCAAAGGGGCUAGUCUCUCUAGAGAAGACCACAGCAACCUCCCUGAGCAGAACCCAGUAUCCAUCACUGUGGCAGACAUCCAACAAAGAGCCUCAGGUCUGAAGAACUGGACAGCUCCAGGACCUGACAUGACACGCCUACUGGCUUAAGAAGCUCACUGCACUCCAUGAGUGCCUGGCAGCACAAAUGAUGCAGCUGCUAAAUGAUGGGACUCACUCUGAAUGGCUAACUGACUUGGCUAAUACCAAGGAGACGCCCUGUCCCCACUGCUGUUCUGCAGAGGUCAGAUCCCCGUCUACCAGAUAAUCCACAAGACUGGCCAUGGAUAGCGCCUCCUCUACAUGGAAGACCUCGAUCUCACCCUCCACAUAGCGGAGGUCUAAUCUUCAGGUGUUUGAAUCAUGCUUAGUCCGACCGCCUACCUGAGACCAUGUUGCCAUGGAGACCCUAACAGGGGCUAAUGAACCAGACUACACAGCUUCCAGGACGAUGGAGGUCCUCAAACCCUCCCACCACGAUAAGGUGGCGAUUCUGUGGGAGGGAUGGUUUUUU